UAUUACUAGGCACAAAAAAACCUUGAAAACAACACCUCAGGCGCACUACAUAUUCCCCAGGACUAGCUAGUGAUGGGUGGCAUUCUCAGCUGUAGUAGUGGACAAAAUGUGCCAUCCAUUGGAAAGUCCAAGAAAUCCUCAAUGCCUUCUGGAUAGGUCAAAAAUUUGAAUGUUGGAGACUUGUUUUUGCUCCCAUAACUGAUUUUGCUUCAAAUCAUGGCCUAAUCCCAACAAUUCUCUAUGGGUGAGCAAUUUUGACAGACUUGCCAAAUUCCAGGAAUAAAAAGCUUCAGCAUUCAAAUUUUGAAAAAUCUUCAGAAGACAAGCAUGAUGUUGGUGCAAAUGGCAGUUCGGUAGCCCUUGUUGCAGAAAG